GUUCCACAAAAUUACAGCACUCCUUAAAAAUUCCUGCCAGUCCUCUCGGCCACACUCUAGACCCGCUGAUGUGAUGCACCCUGGGAACACAUUAUUUCCACAGGACUCCCGUGCAUUCCAGAAAAAUGCACACCAGACGCACCCAACUGAGGGACGUUUUAUACAACGAGGGACGAAGACUUCUCCAAAUAUCCGGAGAAGGAGGAACUGUCACGGAUGGGUGGAAGCCAAGACACAGCAAAGAAUGAGCGAGAGUUGGUCACAAAGCAGCAGCCUGACGAAGCCGACACCGGGGACACGCCAAAACGGCAGCGCUGCGUCCUUCGUCCCGCGGGCGGGGAGCCAGACCCGGUCGGACGUGCGGCCGCGGUGGGAGCUCGCGGAGGCCCCUGCCCCUGCGCCGCCUGCCUUGGCUUCAGCCAGUCCGAGCGGGAGUGGCCGCAGUCGCGGUCACAGCUGGGUGUGGUCGGCUGCGGGGGCACACACGUGCGGUGGAUCGUCGACAUAACCCGGUUUCUGCACCGGGUGAUGGUUUCACAUCGUAACCCUUCCUGGCUGGGGAAAGACACCCCCCCC